UGCCUGUUUGAGUGUCAUGAAACCUCACCCCACUUGGGUUUUUGCCCGAGCGGUGGUGGAUUGGGCGUCUGCCGUCAAUGGCUCGCCUGAAAAGCAUAAGCAACUUUGGAUGUAAUACGUUUCAUCCUUUCGAGUGGCUGACAACCCCACAUAUCUCAUGAUCUGGCCUCAAAUCAGGUAGGGCUACCCGCUGAACUUAA
rnacentral:misc_RNA from 1 species